CCUACGGGGGACUGCAGUGAGGAAUAUUGGUCAAUGGGCGCGAGCCUGAACCAGCCAAGCAGCGUGAAGGAUGACUGCCCUACGGGUUGUAAACUUCUUUUAUAAAGGAAUAAAGUGAGGCACGUGUGCCUUUUUGUAUUUACUUUAUGAAUAAGGAUCGGCUAACUCCGUGCCAGCAGCCGCGGUAAUACGGAGGAUCCGAGCGUUAUCCGGAUUUAUUGGGUUUAAAGGGAGCGUAGAUGGGUUGUUAAGUCAGUUGUGAAAGUUUGCGGCUCAACCGUAAAAUUGCAAUUGAUACUGGCAGCCUUGAGUACAGAUGAGGUAGGCGGAAUUCGUGGUGUAGCGGUGAAAUGCUGAGAUAUCACGAAGAACUCCGAUUGCGAAGGCAGCCUACUAGACUGCCACUGACAUUGAUGCUCGAAAGUGUGGGUAUCAAACAGGAUUAGAUACCCGGGUAGUC
rnacentral:rRNA from 1 species